UUGUUUAAUUUCACAACACCUACCUCUCAGAGUUGUUUACAGCAUUGACCAAUAUAAGCGACCCUUACAGGCCCGUGGGGACAAAAAAUAUAAGACGAUUUCUGCCUGCUUCGAUUGCGGAUUUUAUUGUAGCAGUUAUUUAACUAGAUAAUACAAAUACAGUACAGUAGGCCUACUAUACUAUUUUUAAACCAAGAAACAUUCCUUGUGUUAAAUAUUAUAAUUAAUUUAAAAAUACGUUCUAGUUUUCUUAUAUACACAAAGCUGUUUUAAUUGUCAUUGAAAUAAUGUAAAUAGGCUAUGCAUCUUCAAUGUCUACCUGAGGAUCUAACAUCCCAGUAUGCUACGUUUGAGUCAAAGGAAUCCCCCAAAAAAGGUUUAAGAAGGUCUUCUGGUGAGACGUGACACUCAUUCUCCUCCCCUCCGGGAGGUCUGGGUUUGCACUUGCCACAGCAGCAGUUACAGCAGCAGCACAGGCAGCAGCAGAAAUAGCAGCCUGUUAGCAGCCCGCAGAUUGCAAAGAGACCCUGGGCAGUGUGAAAAAAAAGGACACAGAUACUAAAGCAUUUCUAUAUUAUUCAUAAAGAAUCAAUGGAAGAACUUGGAAGCAUGUGGAGGGGACUCUCACCUUCGCCCACCAGGUGGAGAGCAUGAAGUACGUGUUCACAUUCUCUUCACCAAACUGCUCUGCCACAUAGAGGCCAAG